AUGAUUGAGAAUCGAAUAGAAUGAAGAAUGGAUAGACUUGUUAGUUACUGGAUGAUGAGGAUCACACUAACUUUCAAGUGGAGAGAGAAGAAUCUUUGUAGUUGUUUCUUGUAGUGAAGAUGAAGACCUUAUCAAUCGUUAGAUUCGAAUUGCACUAAAGUCUAUGAACGGAGGUGAAUACAAUGAGCGUUGGGUCAUGCGUCCCAUACCCAAAGAUACUCAGAAUGGGGAUAGGAAUACUCCAGUCCCACUCC
rnacentral:lncRNA from 1 species